rnacentral:misc_RNA from 1 species
AAAAAAAAAAAAAAAAUUCCAAAUGUGAUUUUGGAAUAAAAUGUAUUGUGACAAUGUUUGCUUUUAUUAUAAGAUAUAUUUACAUCAAUUCUAUCAUACAUCAAGUAAAAUUACACUUUAUUUAGUAAGAGUAUGCAGUUUCAAUUCGAUUUCAAUUCUAUCAUAUUCGAUUAAAUUCUUCAUUAUUUAUGUUUCAAUUUGGUACGAUCAUCGGUUUUUUAGUUUCAAUAUCAUUCAAUUUUUGAAAUAAUUUUAUAUAAUCAUUUU